GGCUUCUUUACAGUGCUGCCUUGUCGCAUAUGGAUCAAGCAGCAUUGUACAGGGCUAUGA
rnacentral:pre_miRNA from 1 species